CUAUCGUUGUCGGGUCGCUGCAAAUUCAGCGACCGGAUUUAGCGAUCCGAACA
rfam:Pseudomonas sp. TW4, complete genome.